CGGCCACUUGUCCACGAGGCCAAAAGAACGAGAACAAGCGCUCUGGACAACAAGCAGGUGGCAGAGAUCCAGCAGCCCAUAACCCCGUGGGAGGGGCUUUGCAGGGCUGGCAGAGGGGGACCUCCAGCCCCUCCAGGCUGCUGCGGGCUCCCCCCAGCCCUGUCCCGAGAUGCCGAGCAGGACCACACAGCAGGAGCUCCGCAAAUACCGGCAGAUGGAAAGGCACUAGUGUGCACUGAGAGACAGAAGGCCUGAAAGGUCUGUCCCGCGAUGUCACCACUCUCAAGAGAACUAGAAGGACCGGCCGGCGCACAGCAGGGCCGGGUAGGAGGACCGGCCGUGCCUCAGGCCCCACUUCGCUGGGGUAUUUAGGGGGCUCUCAGGCCCUCUCCGGGCUUCAGCCUCCCCCUCUGUCACUGGGACCUGGGGGGGCCCAGGUGGCUACGGGGAAGCCCAGCGCGCACUGGCGGACGCUGGGCGCCGGUCAGAGUCCGGGGGUAGAGGGGAUGGCGCUCGCGCAACAGGGCUGCAGUCCCAGGUCCCCUGGAAUGGGUGC